AAAUCAAAAUUAGAAUGAGGUACCACCUCACGCCAGCCAGAAUGUCCAUCGUUAAAAAGUCUACAAAUAACAAAUGCUGGAGAGGGUGUGGAGGAAAGGGAACCCUUUUGCACUGUUGGUGGGAAUGUAAGUUGGU